AUGGGUUGUCGUCAGCUCGUGUCGUGAGAUGUUGGGUUAAGUCCCGCAACGAGCGCAACCCUCGCCUUUAGUUGCCAGCAUUCAGUUGGGCACUCUAGAGGGACUGCCGGUGUCAAACCGGAGGAAGGUGGGAUGACGUCAAGUCCUCAUGGCCUUUAUGUCUAGGGCUACACACGUACUACAAUGGCCGGUACAAAGGGCAGCCACUCAGCGAUGAGGCGCUAAUCCCAUAAAGCCGGCCUCAGUCCGGAUCGCAGUCUGCAACUCGACUGCGUGAAGUUGGAAUCGCUAGUAAUCGUAGAUCAGCAUGCUACGGUGAAUACGUUCCCGGGCCUU
rnacentral:rRNA from 1 species